rnacentral:rRNA from 1 species
GCUUUAUAAAUAAUUUAAAUUUAAUUAAUUUAAUGAUUAAAGGUUAAGUUUACACUAUUUUAUUUUGUUGGGGUGAUAUGAGUAUAAGUGUUGUUAACUGCUUAAAAAAAAUUCUAUUAUUAAAGAAUUAAUAAAAUGGAUGAUCCUUUGUAAAGAUUAAAAGACUAAGUU